AUGGCUGCCCACAAGUCACCAAUCCGGGAGAAACAUCAGGAAUCGCCCCACUGCACCCAGCUGGCCGUCGCCGUGGCCUUUGUCAUCCUGUGGCUACAAGCGGCGGACGGCUGGAUUGUUCAGCAGCCGAAAGAGAACGUGUGGGUCACGCUCGCCAAGUCCUUGCAGCAGGACAAUCUAUGUUUGGCCAUGGGCAGUGUGGACAAUCCCCUGUCCACAUGCCUGGUGGGGGUUCCCCUGGUUGCCGACGAUUGGCCAGUUUUUAACUCCGACCUACUCCGAACCACGGGUAAGAGACCCAACCCGGUCGACACUUGGGACGAGUGGACAAAAAUUCUAUCAAACAGUAAAGAGGAACCCCAAGAAUUGGACCUGCUGGGGUCCUCUCACGCAGAAUACUGCGUAAAAUUUUACUAUAGAAGGCCAAGUCAGAAUUGGCAUGGACUUGACUUGGCCAAGAACACAUACAGAAAAGAUGUAACACCUCUAAGCAAAAAGUAUAAUAGCCAAACCUGGUGUAAUUACACCAGCCAGGUAGUUUCGGUUUCUUCCACACGUCCUAAGGUGUUGCCCAAGGGGAUGUUUCUUAUCUGUGGAGACAGAGUAUGGUCAGGCAUUCCAUCUCGGCUCCAGGGAGGACCAUGUAGCCUUGGCAAGCUUGCGACUCUCACUCCAAAUAAAACCCAAAUUUUAGAAUGGAGGAAGGAAAAACAAUUGGCCCGCAAAAAACGUUCAUACGACCAAUUCGAUUCAAAUUGUGAUUCACAAUUGUACAAUUGGGGCAAGACAAAGAGAAUCGCUGCGUCCAUAUUCCUUCCAUGGUACGCAGCAGCAAAAGCCCUUGGUGAGCUUUCUCACCUGGAGUGCUGGGUAAACAAGAAUGCCAACGCUACGUCGGCCGCCCUCUCAGACCUUUUGGCGGACGAGCAAACCACCAGGCAUGCAACCCUCCAAAAUCGGGCUGCGAUAGACUUUCUCCUAUUAGCCCAUGGCCACAGCUGCGAGGACUUUGACGGGCUGUGCUGCUUCAAUCUGUCAUCGAGAAGCAAAUCCAUCCAGGCCCACAUCCAACAGAUAAAAGAGCAAGUAAAAGACUUAAAGACUGAGAAUCCAUCGGCUGCUGACCCUAUAGACAAGACAUUCUCGCAGUGGGGCAUCCCCGGAUGGGCAGCCCCCAUCGUUAAAGGACUUAUCUGGAUUUUAGUUAUUAUUUUCCUUAUUUUCAUCGCUUUAGCCAUCUUUAAACAAUAUUUAGUUAAGACUUUCGGUUCCGCUUAUUUAGUUAAUAAAGACGGGGGAGAUGUGGGAGGGGGUGUGGCUAGUGACCUCCCUGCAUUGCCAUGGGAGGCCACAGAUGUGUAG
rnacentral:lncRNA from 1 species